CCUACGGGGGGCAGCAGUGGGGAAUAUUGGACAAUGGGCGAAAGCCUGAUCCAGCCAUGCCGCGUGUGUGAAGAAGGCCUUCGGGUUGUAAAGCACUUUCAGUGGGGAAGAAAGCCUUGGGGCUAAUACCCUCGAGGAAGGACAUCACCCACAGAAGAAGCACCGGCUAACUCCGUGCCAGCAGCCGCGGUAAUACGGAGGGUGCGAGCGUUAAUCGGAAUUACUGGGCGUAAAGCGCGCGUAGGCGGUCUGAUAAGCCGGUUGUGAAAGCCCCGGGCUCAACCUGGGAAUGGCAUCCGGAACUGUCAGGCUAGAGUGCAGGAGAGGAAGGUAGAAUUCCCGGUGUAGCGGUGAAAUGCGUAGAGAUCGGGAGGAAUACCAGUGGCGAAGGCGGCCUUCUGGACUGACACUGACGCUGAGGUGCGAAAGCGUGGGUAGCAAACAGGAUUAGAUACCCCGGUAGUC
rnacentral:rRNA from 1 species